rnacentral:lncRNA from 1 species
CUCGCUUUUAACAAUUAUUUGUUUAAUGUAUACUUAAAAAUUGUAUAGAACAAUUAUAAAUAAAUAAAAAAUUCAUUUGUAGAAUGUUUGCCAAAAAUAUCAUGAUUAAAACUUAAGACUAAAGUAUAAUCUAAUCAUAACAUCUUAUGAAAAAACUCUAGUUUUCUCUCGAUUUCUCACUCUUCAUGGUAUUUUAUCUUUUGGCAUGUGCUUGGGAUUUGUGACAAAAUUUCUCAAGUUGUUUGGACUUCAAAUCUCCAUUUUACUUGGUUUUCUUGCUUCCAAAAUUUCUAUGAGAUGUCUUUCAUCGGAUCAACUCAAUGGUUUAUACCAAAAAGAUUAGAACAUCCUAUAAAGUUGUCUGGUUAAUAAAUACUAUAGCUAUUUUCUCAAGGAUGGAAAACUUAUUCCAUUUCAUUAACAAGAGUAUCAUAUUCAUGAAUACAUCUUUAGCUAUUUUUGAGCAUAAUACAUUUUUGGAAAAUGUAACCCAGCUCAGUUAAAUCCUCUUCUUAAAACUGCCUGUACUCAUCACUAAGACACAUACAAAGGCCAAUACAUUUGUCACACUGAAAGUUGCAGACUUCAACCAUUUGGUCUGAGUUGGUGUGCUGUUAUUCCUGUUAUGUGCCACAACUUGCAUAUUUACGAUUCUAGACUAGGACAUAAGCACAUUGACUCUGUGGCUGAUAGCUUCACAACUAUCAUUAAUGUCAUCCCAUUAGUUGCUUGACCAGUUAAAGAUUUGGGUUGAUAACGUGGGUGGUGGAAUUUAACUUUUUUAGAAAAUCAAUUUUAAAACAUUUUUUUUUAAUUUUACUAUUUUAUUAAACUCAAUAUCAUAUUGCGGAAGGAACUAACUUAUUUUUCUGUUUUUAACAAUCCGUAACUCCAAUAACCACAAAAACCUAACAGAAAUUGAUAUCCCAAGUCAGACAUCAGCGAA